GCCGCCGCCGCUGCCCCUGCCCCUCUUCUCCCUCCUCCCCCUGGCUCUGCUCCUCCUGCUGCUGCUGCUGCUCAGUGCCGCUCGAGCCACACUCCCAAGCAGACGCCCGCCCGACCCGGGAGCAACAGCAGCAGCAGCAGGAGCCGCCGCUGAGGCCCAUGAAACACCAAACAUCUGAAGUGUUCCGGGAUUCAAUUUUGCCAAACUGCAGCCUUCCUGGAAUAGCUCAGCAGAGCUUCUGAGAAACUAUUUUCAGUUUGAAACAAAGCAUACUAAAUGUUUUCUGCAUAUUGCUAUUUCAUUCUCCUUCCCAGAAAUCUGGGUAGUAUUUUUGGCUCUCUCCUCUAACAGACUGUUCACAGUUAAUGUUGGGGAAAAUAACCAUAUUCCCAUAUUUCUACCAUUUUUUGCAUCAUGAAAAUCAGCUGAGUGACUAUGGUAGUCAUUUUCCCUCUCCACAACCCACAUCACAGGGUGGUUGUUGGGAAAAUAGGAGGAAGGAAUAUUAUGUAUGUUGGCCACCUUGAGUAGCUUAUAAAAAUAAUAAACAUGGGAUAGAAAUAAAAUGUGACUACAAGUUAGAUGCUUAUAUUAAGGAUACAAUUUCUAGUAUAGUCCACAUAAUUUUAUAGGUGUCCAGAUGCUACCUUCUUCCUUUUAUAAGCCAGGGCUUCCCAAAAUAUCCUCUGUCUUACCUACAUAAAAUUCAUCAGAAUAGCUGCAUAACAUCUUUUGAAUUUUAAUACUCCCCCCCCCUCCCCAAUAACUUGGUAAAUACUCAGAAUAUUGUGUACUGGAUAGAAUUGUUCUAUAUGUUCAUGCCUGUAUUUAUACUUGAAAAAUAAUAAUUACAAUUACUUGUU